AACCAGCGUGAGAGGCUGCACAUCAGUAUUCAAGACGCAAAACGAGGAGCUGCGGGAAGGAGCCUGCUGCAGCAAGAAGCAGGGACAGAGAGUGCUUUCCCAGGGGCAAUCCCUGCAUGCCCUGCCCAGCCCCUGCACUCUGGGGUCACUGUAGGAGGUGACCAGGCUUGCAGUGCUGGAGCAGGGCACCUUUGAGUUUCUAGACUGUUCCCAGGCAUAACCUUCACCAAUGUUAUAUGGAGAUCUUCAUGCAAACUUAUCAGCUUUGAAAAGGGACGAUGAGCUGUUAUGAAUUGUUCUGUACUGGAAGGAGGAAGAGGCCUGUGGCAGAACUACACAGACAAAAGCUUUCCUUUGGAGCUUACCAGUUUGACUAGGACUGAAUUGUGGCAAAGGCCUGGGGGAAAAACCCUUUCAAAUAAGUCUAACAUGUGCAUCUCAGGAAAAGCUUGAUGGAACCUAGCAGUGUGAAGAUUGAAUAGCCUGGUCAAAAAAAGACGAAGAUAAAGGAAUGAUAGAGAAGUAGUCUGAGUAAUUCCUCUGGAGGAUGUUUCGAGUUAUAUUUGCUGAAGGCUGUUUCAUCUUCCUGGCAAUCUUGAUUGAAAUAAAGUUGUACAUACUAUAUUUCAAACAUCCUUAUCUAUGGUAUACACAAAGAGCGAAUCUUAAAUUUCUAUGUCUGUAUAUGAGUAUAUGUUCUACUGCCUGUGAAACAAAAAAUGAUAAUUGAGAUGAUCUGCCAGAGGAGCUGAAGGAGCUGAAGUCUACCCAAAUGAAAUACAGCCAGUAUUAUC
rnacentral:lncRNA from 7 species